CCUAAAAUCCCGCCCGUUGGUGCUCGCGGCGUGGUUCGCACGGCGCAGUUCAACGGGAAGCAGGAGUGGACGCCCCCCGGGGUCGAAGCCGCCUGCGCUGCCCCCGCAACGGUCAAGCAGACGACGCCGCAAGGCGUCACCCCUUUCCAUCCAGCCACUGGGCGCUCUGAAACAGGCGCCUGGGAAGGCGGCAAGGGGCGAUCUGCCAGCCCGGAUACCGGCCAACAAGGCGGCUGCCGC
rnacentral:ncRNA from 2 species